CCCCUUCGUACCCGUGCCGCCGCCACUGUCCUUCGCCUCCAUUUUCCGCCGCCACCACCCCUCUCUCCUCCGGCCUGCCUCCUCCCUAGUGCUCAGCAGGAGGAGCAUGAGAUUCCACCAGGGGCACUCAGCGAGAAGAGCAAAAGGGUCAACCAAACCACAUCGGAGGGGGCUGAGCCAAGGUGAGCACCUUCUUCCCAUCCCGUGAAUCCUUUCUGGAGGACGAGGAUGGGCCAUGGAAGGGGAAGGACCUCAUUUUGUCUUCCCUGUUAGCCGGCUGUACGGGCGUCCGUGCUUGCCACCGCUGCUCCACCUCUUCAUCCUCUGCAUCUAAAGGUGGAGCACGUCGUCGAUGAACGAGGACAACGAGCCAGGGUGUUUGACAAGCAGGAACAUGAUGGGACGGGGGAGAAGGCAUGUGCCCGCAGAGACUAGGAUCUGGAGGAUGCGAAGAUGGCUUCUUCUUCAUCCGGGACCUGCAUGUUUCUCCUCUCUCUCUCUCUCUCUCUCUCUCUCUCUCUCUCACUGGAUCACCUCCUUCCCGAUGAACUAAUUUGAUGCAGAUGUUUGUAUCAUAGGUCGGAGAUGUGUUUGAAGGUGUUGAUUUUGCACAUAUUUGGUUGUAGCUUUUGCUUGUGAUUACCCGUGUACACUUGGGCAGAAGUAUGAGGAAUUAUGUCGGUGGUUUGCUCGCUAACAGACUGGAAGACCGAGGCUGAUGUGAGCUGGCAAUGGCUGAGGUUCAAGAGGAGCGCGACGUCGCAACCUCCAGGCGUAGCGUUAGCCGCUGAUGUCACCAUCGCCAUACUUCUCUCAGCUACAUGGAUGUGCGUGCAUUCACACAGUAUUGAUGUUCCUCUCUUGCUGCUACUCCACCUGGAGGAGCGCCGUCUUGGUCACCGGACGGUCAUCCUCGUGUCGACAUGGUUGCGUGUAUAUUUGGUUACCUUUUCUCUGCAGCUUAGUAAAUGAGAGAAACGGAGGUCUACACGGCGGCAAGGCAGAGUUGAAACUUCUAAAAUUUAUAGAUUGGAUUAGGCUCAUAUGCUUAAGCCAAGCUCAGGUUCAAGUGCGUUUCUCAUCUAAACAAGAGUGCCAUUGCUGUUGUCAAAAUUUAGGGCAAUUGUGUAUCCUUUACAUUCCAGGAUGGAGUUACUUAAAUUCAGUAUAAAAGAUACUUGGAGUGGGGAGGAACUUGAGAGAGUAUACGGUAAAAAUAAUUUAGGUCAUAAUAUUGUUGAAGAUUGUUGCACAAAGGUUUCUUCUAUUUCUCUGCUAGAUUUGUAAGUCUGCUCUCUUGCAGGAAAUGGUGGUGCGUGCUAUCAGGGAGGGAG